GCUCCAUCCCAGUGGCGUUUGGCGAACUCGACAAUUUUCGUUACGAGCGAGCAUCUUGCCAAAAUGAGAAAACUUUUGCCAACACCAAACGUGUCGACGUCCCAACCCGUCGACGGAGGUGGAGCUGACAAAGCGGAGGAGCAGACGCAGCCCGCCACACCCAUAAAGCUCCCCGGGCACGGGCCACAACGUCACCAGAAGUUGCCAAAAGAAAAUCUGUUUCGAGUGGCUGCAAUCCCCGUGGACGUUGUAGGUGUUGUCUCCAGCUCCUGGGAGAGCCUUCAGUCCCAUUAUUUGCACAGCAGUUGCAACGAGGCAGCAAAACAGGAUACGAUAAGGACGAUGGAACCCGCUCCCACAAGCGAACCACCCCCACAUCGAGGCAGCUGAUGUAUAGGCACUUAUUCCGUGCCCUGGCCGGGCUGUGACUUUUCUUUUAUUUGUGCAUGAGGCAACGAUUCGGAAGAAUGGCUUUGUUCCCAUUCCGUAUUGCCUGGGCUUGUGCUCGUGAUUGUGCGACCUCGGCUAGUCCCUACGGCUCCCCUGGCUCUCUGCUUGGAUUGCUCUGACGGCGGGCGUUGCAUUUUGGGUAAGUGACGUUGAACGUUCGGCCACUGGCAGAAAACCGAGUCAGAACGAGACAACUUCUGGGCAACAGAAUGGCCAAAGGAAUAAGUAAAACUUUUGUGUUUCCAUCCGGUUUCUUGCAGUGCACGUAGAGGAAGCUUCGCUUCGUGUGUAAGUGCCUCAAUUUCUGGGAUGUUGACAUCUAUUUCGGCUGGAAGAACACACCUAAGUGUGCUCACGAUGGGAAGCAAACAAACCAAACCAAGCAAUGGAAUGGCCACCCAGAUAAGCCCGGCAAAUACGAAAAUAUGAUUCUAUUAGACUCGGGCUGUUGUGUUUGUUUUCGCUUACAUUAUGAAUAGCACAGCCCGAAACGGAAUACAAAUUGGACAGGACUUGGACAGAGCUGACGCUUGCUUGUGGGUGAAAUCAACUUAAAGUUGCCCGUACUCUUGCCACUUGAGCUGGCUUUCUUUUUAAUUUGGCUGCCAAAAGUGUUGGCCAAUAUUUUUGGUAAAGUUUUUAUGUCCCCAACAGAUUCCUCCCCAUUCUCGGUGCUACUUUGUCAGUCUGUUUAACGGGAGAUGGGGCGGCUGGCCGUCUAAUGAAAUUCGCCACCUCGCCUCGGCAUCGGCCUCUAGUUUCUUCCAUAUUGCGGAAACUUGGGCUGACAAACUUUGGCUCGCUUAAUUAUUUCCGGUUUGCGCUGUGUGUGGCAGCUGCCAAGGAGAAAACUUUUACUUAUCAAGUCGUUAAGAGCGAGGCACAGAUCCACAAAGAGCACGCUGAGAUGCGAAUUGGAUUUAGGGCCAGGGCCUUAAACUCUGACGGAGCAUGGUCUCUCCCCGGGGCCUUUGUAAAUCAGCGGGCGAAUAGCAAGCCCCGCCUGGCUACCGCACCGUGGCAGCCAUAUCGGAUGUAAAUCGAACACUUAAUGGACUCACCGGCAGCGGAUAGUGCAGCGUAUCCCCGCACAGCCAAUAAUUUUGCAUGCAUUAUGAGCACGAUAUAAGUUACGAACUUUAUUUGUGAAUUAAACGUGAAAUGAAUUAACGUGACUAAAAUAUUUCAUCUUGGCCAGCGGCAAAACUGGCAAGAAGUCGG
rnacentral:lncRNA from 1 species